UUAAGCGAACAAGCGUACACGGUGGAUGCCCUGGCAGUCAGAGGCGAUGAAGGACGUGCUAAUCUGCGAAAAGCGCCGGUAAGGUGAUAUGAACCGUUAUAACCGGCGAUGUCCGAAUGGGGAAACCCGGUGCACUUCGGUGCAUCAUCGUUAGCUGAAUACAUAGGCUAACGAAGCGAACCGGGGGAACUGAAACAUCUAAGUACCCCGAGGAAAAGAAAUCAACCGAGAUUCCCCCAGUAGCGGCGAGCGAACGGGGAACAGCCCAGAGCCUGAAUCAGCUUGUGUGUCAGUGGAACGGUCUGGAAAGGCCGGCGAUACAGGGUGACAGCCCCGUACACGAAGGCACACAGGCUGUGAGCUCGAUGAGUAGGGCGGGACACGUGAUAUCCUGUCUGAAGAUGGGGGGACCAUCCUCCAAGGCUAAAUACUCCUGACUGACCGAUAGUGAACCAGUACCGUGAGGGAAAGGCGAAAAGAACCCCGGCGAGGGGAGUGAAACAGAACCUGAAACCGUGUACGUACAAGCAGUGGGAGCCUUCGUAAGAGGGUGACUGCGUACCUUUUGUAUAAUGGGUCAGCGACUUAUAUUCUGUAGCAAGGUUAACCGUAUAGGGGAGCCGAAGGGAAACCGAGUCUUAACCGGGCGUUAAGUUGCAGGGUAUAGACCCGAAACCCGGUGAUCUAGCCAUGGGCAGGUUGAAGGUUGGGUAACACUAACUGGAGGACCGAACCGACUAAUGUUGAAAAAUUAGCGGAUGACCUGUGGCUGGGGGUGAAAGGCCAAUCAAACCGGGAGAUAGCUGGUUCUCCCCGAAAGCUAUUUAGGUAGCGCCUCGUGAAUUCAUCUCCGGGGGUAGAGCACUGUUUCGGCUAGGGGGCCAUCCCGGCUUACCAACCCGAUGCAAACUGCGAAUACCGGAGAAUGUUAUCACGGGAGACACACGGCGGGUGCUAACGUCCGUCGUGAAGAGGGAAACAACCCAGACCGCCAGCUAAGGUCCCAAAGUCAUGGUUAAGUGGGAAACGAUGUGGGAAGGCCCAGACAGCCAGGAUGUUGGCUUAGAAGCAGCCAUCAUUUAAAGAAAGCGUAAUAGCUCACUGGUCGAGUCGGCCUGCGCGGAAGAUGUAACGGGGCUAAACCAUGCACCGAAGCUGCGGCAGCGACACGUAUGUGUUGUUGGGUAGGGGAGCGUUCUGUAAGCCUGUGAAGGUGUGCUGUGAGGCAUGCUGGAGGUAUCAGAAGUGCGAAUGCUGACAUAAGUAACGAUAAAGCGGGUGAAAAGCCCGCUCGCCGGAAGACCAAGGGUUCCUGUCCAACGUUAAUCGGGGCAGGGUGAGUCGACCCCUAAGGCGAGGCCGAAAGGCGUAGUCGAUGGGAAACAGGUUAAUAUUCCUGUACUUGGUGUUACUGCGAAGGGGGGACGGAGAAGGCUAUGUCGGCCGGGCGACGGUUGUCCCGGUUUAAGCGUGUAGGCUGACUUUCCAGGCAAAUCCGGAAGGUUAAGGCUGAGGCGUGAUGACGAGGCACCACGGUGCUGAAGUGACAAAUGCCCUGCUUCCAGGAAAAGCCUCUAAGCAUCAGGUAACAUCAAAUCGUACCCCAAACCGACACAGGUGGUCAGGUAGAGAAUACCAAGGCGCUUGAGAGAACUCGGGUGAAGGAACUAGGCAAAAUGGUGCCGUAACUUCGGGAGAAGGCACGCUGACAUGUAGGUGAAGCCCCUGCGGGUGGAGCUGAAGUCAGUCGAAGAUACCAGCUGGCUGCAACUGUUUAUUAAAAACACAGCACUGUGCAAACACGAAAGUGGACGUAUACGGUGUGACGCCUGCCCGGUGCCGGAAGGUUAAUUGAUGGGGUUAUCGCAAGAGAAGCUCCUGAUCGAAGCCCCGGUAAACGGCGGCCGUAACUAUAACGGUCCUAAGGUAGCGAAAUUCCUUGUCGGGUAAGUUCCGACCUGCACGAAUGGCGUAAUGAUGGCCAGGCUGUCUCCACCCGAGACUCAGUGAAAUUGAACUCGCUGUGAAGAUGCAGUGUACCCGCGGCAAGACGGAAAGACCCCGUGAACCUUUACUACAGCUUGACACUGAACAUUGAGCCUUGAUGUGUAGGAUAGGUGGGAGGCUUUGAAGCGUGGACGCCAGUCUGCGUGGAGCCGACCUUGAAAUACCACCCUUUAAUGUUUGAUGUUCUAACCUGGCGCCAUAAUCUGGCGUGGGGACAGUGUCUGGUGGGUAGUUUGACUGGGGCGGUCUCCUCCCAAAGUGUAACGGAGGAGCACGAAGGUCAGCUAAUCCUGGUCGGACAUCAGGAGGUUAGUGCAAUGGCAUAAGCUGGCUUGACUGCGAGAGUGACGGCUCGAGCAGGUGCGAAAGCAGGUCAUAGUGAUCCGGUGGUUCUGUAUGGAAGGGCCAUCGCUCAACGGAUAAAAGGUACUCCGGGGAUAACAGGCUGAUACCGCCCAAGAGUUCAUAUCGACGGCGGUGUUUGGCACCUCGAUGUCGGCUCAUCACAUCCUGGGGCUGAAGUAGGUCCCAAGGGUAUGGCUGUUCGCCAUUUAAAGUGGUACGCGAGCUGGGUUUAGAACGUCGUGAGACAGUUCGGUCCCUAUCUGCCGUGGGCGCUGGAGAAUUGAGGGGGGCUGCUCCCAGUACGAGAGGACCGGAGUGGACGCAUCACUGGUGUUCGGGUUGUCAUGCCAAUGGCACUGCCCGGUAGCUAAAUGCGGAAGAGAUAAGUGCUGAAAGCAUCUAAGCACGAAACUUGCCCCGAGAUGAGUUCUCCCUGAGACUAUAAGUCUCCUGAAGGAACGUUGAAGACGACGACGUUGAUAGGCCGGGUGUGUAAGCGCAGCGAUGCGUUGAGCUAACCGGUACUAAUGAACCGUGAGGCUUAACCUU
rnacentral:rRNA from 1 species